UGUUUAGUGGGCUGAAGAAACGAGGUUGGAGGUUCGCAGCAGUGAUUUGUGGUUUAUCUGCCACUGGGGAAAAUCUUUUAACUACUCCUACCACCUGAGAAGGACCGCUUUUCGACCAAGUCACCUAGGGGACAAGUACUAGAGGAACAUGUAAUUUUUGUUCUUCAUUAUCCUGCAUUUUGGAGAAUUGCCGUGUUACGGUUGACUGCGUAGCACCAUUCUGUGCUUAAGACUUUACUGAGAAGUAGUAAGGAAAACUUGUGGGGACAAUAUCAGGUCAAUCGGGUUUGUUUCGGGAACUUUUUAUAUUUAACAGUGCAAUAGUUAUCUACCUAUACCAGUACACUUAUACACUUAUUUUUUUAUAAUAUCCAGAACAUUUAAGUAAUUAACAUACACAUAGUUCAAUAGCGCUCCCACACCUGUAUGUCUCUUUGUAAAAGAGGAUAAUUUGGGCCCAAAUAACCUUUUCCCAUACAGUAGUUCCUUACAUUUAUUUUUUAUUAAUAUUAUUAGACUUGUUUCCCAUAUUUUUCAUAUAACUAUAUAUAUAUUUUAAUAUUAUUAGCGUGUUUCUUGUAAUUUAAAUUCCCAAUUUGUUUGCUUAACUUAAAUUCAUUUGUUAUUAAAUUAAAUUCAAUCCCUAAUCCCUAUCCCUUCAGGAUAGCUAUUAGUUUUACUUGGUCAUUAUUAAAAACCACGAGUCAGAAAAAGGAUCUUUAUCAUCCAGGACUGCGUUGGUUCAGUUAGGUGUUGCCUAUUCAACUCAUUGAGUUAUAUAUAUAUUUGUAUGGUUCAUCCUAGGUAGGUAUUUUAGUGUUGAUUUCUUGUAGUAUUUAACGUUGCUGUACGUAUUACAAUCGUACGAUUAUUUGGUGAAGGUUGUUGUUUAACCUUAGUGUAAGUUGGGGGUACGCUCCAUAUAAGAGCUACCCCAGUACUAAUGUAAUUAUAGUUGUAUACUUAUAUUCAGAUAAGUAGUUAAGUCAAAUUGUCAUUUUAGAGUUACAUAGGUUGUAUUUUUUCUAACUCAGAGGUUGUCAAUAAUCUAGGUAGUUAUAUUUUAAUAAAUAUUUAUUUGUUUGUA
rnacentral:lncRNA from 1 species